AUGGGGAGGCAAUGGAAUACGUCGUGUUCAUCGGGAGCCAACCGGCUUGGACGGAACAGCCGAUCAAAACGAGGCCUGGCGUACCGCAGAACAGAGGAAACGACCUUGUGUUCGACCGGCCACGGUCGAAAUGGGAUCCUGUUCAUCGGGAGGGGUCUGGCGUAUCGCAAAACGGAGGAAACGGACUUCUCUUGGACCUCCUACGGUCGAAACGGGGUCCUGUUGAUCGGAAGGGGUGUGGCGUACCGCAAAACGGAGGAAACGGACUUGUGUUGGAGCGCUACGGUCGAAACGGGGGUCAUGUUCAUCAGGAGGAGUGUGGCGUACCGCAAAACGGGACUCCACGGGAUACUGUUCAUCUCCACCGUCGACCUCCUCCAGCCGCCACGGGCUACUGUUCAUCCACCGUUGACCUCCUCCAGCCUCCACCCGCGACUGUUCAUCCAUGGGCUCCUGUUCAUCCAGCCUCCACCGCUCCUCCACCGACUACUGUUCAACCAGCCCUCUCGACGGGGUCCUGUUCAACCACGCCUCCACGGGUUACUGUUCACCCAGCCCUCCACCGGCUACUGUUCAACCAUCCCUCCACGGGGUCCUGUUCAUCCAGCCCUCCAUGGGGUCUUGUUCAUCCACCCCCAACCGGCUCGAUCGGGGUCCUGUUCAUCCAGCGGCAACGGCCUCUACUACCACGGGGUCCUGUUCAUCCAACCCCCCACCGGGAACUGUCCAUCCACCCCCCCAACAACGCUCAAUGUUCAUCAAGAGGCAGCAUCGAUCGGCUUCAGUUAG
rnacentral:rRNA from 1 species